rnacentral:lncRNA from 1 species
AAAUGCUAAAAGUCUUCAAAUUUUCCAAGUGAACGAAAUGGGAUGAAAUAGAUUAAAAUGACAAAUGCGUACAUACAUACGUACAUACACACACACACACACACACACACACACACACACACACACACACACACACACAUAUGUACGCGCGCACACACACACACUCAUGCACACAGACAUGCACUUAUGUAUAGUCCAGAGAAAGUUGGCUAUGCUCUGGUCGAUAUUUAAAGUCCUAGCGGUUUAAAUUUUUACCUGAUAAUGGUGUAUUAUAUAUUAUGGUGUUAAUCAUUACGAUUACAUUAAUUAAAUUAAAUCUUCCUGAAACACCUGCCGUAAAUUUUAAACACCAUUUGUGCUUACUUUACAUAUAAAUAUAUGUACAUACAUAUAUAUGCAUAUAUAUAUAUAUACAUAUAUAUAUAUAUAUAUAUAUAUAUAUACAUAUAUAUAUAUAUACAUAUAUAUACACACACACACACAUACACACACAAACAUACAUACAUACAUACAUACACAUACAUACAUACAUACAUAGAUAUAUAUAUAUAUAUGUAUGUAUGUAUGCAUGUAUGUAUGUAUGUAUGUAUGUAUGUAUGUAUGUAUGUUUGUAUGUACAUACAUAUAUAUAUAUAUAUAUAUAUAUAUAUAUAUAUAUAUGCAUAUAUAUGUAUGUACAUAUAUUUAUAUGUAAAGUAAGCACAAAUGGUGUUUAAAAUUUACGGCAGGUGUUUCAGGAAGAUUUAAUUUAAUUAAUGUAAUCGUAAUGAUUAACACCAUAAUAUAUAAUACACCAUUAUCAGGUAAAAAUUUAAACUGCUAGAACUUUAAAUAUCGACCAGAGCAUAGCCAACUUUCUCUGGACUAUACAUAAGUGCAUGUUUAUGUACGUGGGUGUGUGUGUGCGCGCGUACAUAUGUGUGUGUGUGUGUGUGUGUGUGUGUGUGUGUGUGUGUGUGUGUGUGUGUGUGUGUGUGUAUGUACGUAUGUAUGUAUGCAUUUGUCAUUUUAAUCUAUUUCAUCCCGUUUCGUUCACUUGGAAAAUUUGAAGACUUUUAGCAUUUAAAUAUAGUCUUCUGACUGCCCAAACCAUGCCUACUAUAAUGAUAAAGCCCUUUUGCUUAGUGGAGCAAUGCAUUGAAGGUUUAAAACGGCUAAGGGGGUAAACCGCUACAGAAAAUCCACACACCCAGAGAGACCUUAAGAAGCUGUCGAUGUAUGGACUUAUAUUUCCUUCAUCGUGUACCUAUGAAUGGAGCGGUAAUAAUUGUACUAGGAGCAAAGCACCUGAUACUGGAAGCCGUUCAGAAACAGUUGAUGCUGUUAAGACACUGCCCCUGCAAUACUGGCAACCAACGACAAAAAGACCCGGCCAUUGCAAGCUAUUGUGUUAUUAAUCGUCAAUAUUAUUUAGUUUUAUUAUUUAGCUAAUGACGCAAAUUCGAGUCUGAUAGGAUACCAUAUACCAUAUAAUACUUAUGGCUUACUUAAAUGUUUACUUCUUUGGUAAAAUAAACAACGAAGUUUUUCAUGCUUGUAUUCAACCAUAAAGUCUUCAAUACUCGUAUACAGAGCUGUUUCAAUUUACAUGAAUUUCGUCAGUGUAAAGCAAGUGAGAAUUUCUGAAAUAUACUAUUAUUUCGUUCUGAAAUGAGAGAAAGUAAGGAGAUAAUAUAAUAGCAAAGCGUCUGAGCACCUUAUUAGGCGUUCUUCUGUUUUUGUCAUAGUUCGUUAGUUCUGUAAAAACUAAUUAAAAUUUGAAUUUACAUGCAAACUAAUAAGAGUAGCCCUAAUUAUUUUCAUCUUCCUUUGCGAAAUUAUCCAGUAGAGCUAGAAUUAAUUAUAAUCGUAGAUUUUUCCCUGGCUGUUUUGUAACUGUUCUGCUUAUUAUAUGUUCAGUUCCAACCGUUCUUAAUGAUGUAUGUGUUGUACAUGUGGUAUGUCAAGCAGGCUUUUGCAUUGUAUAUAUAUAUAUAGAGAGAGAGAGACAGACUGACAGACAGACAGACAAAGAGAGACAGACAGACAGAGAAAGAGAUAGAGCACAAGUCUAUGUACUUAAAGGGAAUUUAACGUCCCCACAGGGAGCGAGGUACUAUAUUUGCAAGCCAAUUUCUCUCGAAAUUAUAUAUAUAUGUGUGUGUGUGUGCGUGUGUGCAUGUAUCUAUGUGUGUGUGUGUGUGUGUGUGUGUGUGUGUGUGCAUAUGUGUCCAUAUUUUAUCCAAUUAUUCCUUCAUGCUAAACUUUCUCCUUUAUUUUACCAAACAAACCAAAUAUAUCUGUCCACUAAUAGAGAGCAGUCGCCAUUCCACAACGGCUACCUCUGAAGAGUGCAAAGUUACAUAACCGCACUGUUACCUAACUCUCUUUUGAACCCCUAGUGUGAAACUGAUUGGUAAAUUUAGGCCGUAAUAUAUAUAAUACUGUACGCUUCGAUUAAUGUAUAUAUAUAUCAUCUCAAACAAUUUGGUUCGGUUCCAUGCGAAUCGAACUGUUUUAAAUAAUGCAUGUAACUUUCACUAAAUGUGUUGAAAGCCCUUUUCUUUCGUUUGUGCGGUUAGAUUUCUCAAGUGUGUGUAUAAAUAUAUAUAUAUAUAUGUGUGUGUGUGUGUGUGUGUGUGUUUGUGUGCAGGAAGGAGGCGAUCCACAUACUCAGUGCCAACAAAAAUAGCUUAAUUAAUAAGAUAUCUGACGUCAUAAGAUAUCUGACCUGUAGACAUAAAUAUCUUUCAACUUUUAGGUUCUUACUCCAAAAUAAUUAGCCGAUAGGAUCCUAAUAUAGCCGUCCUUUAUAUUAUGGACUCUUCUUAAAAUACUAUUAUAUACAGCGUCGUAAUGUACCUUAACCUGUAAUUUUAAUUUUAAUUAUAUCAUCUGCUUGAAGAGUAUGGUUCGACUAAACAAUAGUAUUCUUUUUUUAAUUCUCAAACCUCUUAAAAUUUUAACAAGUCUUUCAAUCUCUUAAGUCUGAUGAGAGAAGUAUAGAUAACUGCUAUGGGUUAGCACGCCCAUAUCAACUUUUUUCUUCUCGAAACGGCCGUAAGGUUUUGUACCUAUUUGGGAUUCCUAAUGAAUUAUCUUAUACUAACUUUCUUUUCUACCCUCCUAAUUGAUUCUAAUACGGACAUUCGGACUUCGCAAGUAUAUCUAUGUAUUUAGAGUUAUGUGUUUAUAUAUUUAUGAAUUUCUAUGUGUUUGUAAAUUUUUAUAUAUUUGUGAAUUUUCAUAAAUUUAUAAAUCUUCGUAUUUAUAUGUGUUUAUGAAUUCUUAUGAAUUUUCAUCGUGUCUCAUAUACGUAAACGCAUCUAUGUAUAUUGUAUUGUUUGAAGAAUUUCUAUAACUUGAUAUGGAUUGAAUGAAUAUCAAUAUCGAACUUUGAAAUAUGCUUUUCUCUGUCUUAAUUAUAUAUAUAUAUAUAUAUAUACAUAUAUAUAUAUAUAUAUAUAUAUAUAUAUAUAUAUAUAUAUAUAUAUACAUAUAUAUACAUAUAUACAUAUAUACAUAUAUACAUAUAUAUAUAAUAUAUAUAUAUAUAUAUAUAUAUAUAUAUAUAUAUAUAUAUAUAUAUAUAUAUAUAUAUAUAUAUAUAUAUAUAUAUAUAUAUAUAUAUAUGUUCGGAGCAAAUAAUACAAGAGACAAUAUUUGCGAAGAUUUUAUUGACUGCUGGUGGCUGCUGUGAUUCGGCGCAAAAUUAAUCUGUUGCAGCACAGACUUCAACCCGAAGGAUCGGGACCCUCUCACCUGGUAACGCGUGCUGAGGAGGAUGAGGCUAUAAUGCCAGUCCAGAAACCGGUCCACGUAAAUCCAAAUACUUGAAUGUACGCUGAGAGAUUGUCUUAGCUCGCAUUGCCUUCGGUGUAUUUUGGCAAUUUAAAUAUGAGUUUUGACUGUUAUUUCCAGCAGGUAGACAUACUUAGUAUGACCUUUGAUUAAUUUUAAUAUAUAUACAUGCACUCACACACAUAUAUAUAUAGAUACACACAUAUAUACACAAGCAUGCUCAGACACACACACAUAUAUACACACAUACAUACAUAUAUACAUAUGAGUCUGUAUGUGUGCAUCUAUGUAUUUGUGUAUGUGUAUAUGUAUGAGAUGUGUGUAUGUGUGUGUGUGUGUGUAUGCUAGCAUAUACUUCUUUUCUUUUUAGCUCAUGGGAUCACUUAGCCAUUCGACAAAGAAAGAUCAAUGAAAUAUACAGCUGAUUGGAAUCAAUACUUGAGUCUAUAUAUACUUUGCUAAAACACUUGAAGGCGGCGCUCCAGCAUGGCCGCCGUCUCUUGAUUGAAUCGAGAAAGGAAGGAAGGCAGGAAAGGAAGGAUGGAAGGAAGGAAGGAAGGAAAGAAAGGAAGGAAGGAAGGAAGGAAGGAAGGAAGGAAGGAAGGAAGGAAGGAAAGGAAGGACGAACAACGAACGAACGAACGAACGAGGGAAAGAAGGAAGGAAGGCAGAAAGGAAGGAAGGAAGGAAGGAAAGGAAGGAAAGGAAGGAAGGACGAACGAACGAACGAACGAAAGAACGAACGAAGGCAGGAAAGAAGGACGAACGAACGAAGGCAGGCAGGUAGGAAGGAAGGAAGGAAGGAAGGAAGGACGAACGAACGAACGAACGAACGAACGAGGGAAAGAAGGAACGAACGAACGAACGAACGAACGAAGGCAGGAAAGAAGGAACAAACGAAGGAAGGAAGAAAGGAAGGAAGGAAGGAAGGAAGGAAGGAAGGAAGGAAUAAAAUAAACCUGAACUUAAAUAUGAAAGCGAAGAAAUGGAAACUGAAAUUGGAGAUCAAUAACAAUCUUUAUCGUAUUUAUCGAUUUUCAAGCGAAAUAUCAGCGUCACAGAGCGUUCUACUGUGACUAAUGCUGAUUGAUUGAUUCAUUCCAAAUGUCAUUGAACGCAGCAGGAUAAACAAAUACCAGUGAUACACGAAGGGGCAGAUGAAAUGGCAAUCUUCAUUAGCAACGUUGAAGACGAAGUGUUUUGUUUUAGGUUUUUCUUUCAAAUUUCAACGAUGCAAGAUGGCGUCCAGCGAAGAAGUUGUCCGAAUCGAAAUGUCAAAAGCAUGUGCGUUCUCGUUUCCGGAAUGACAACAGGAAGUGACGUGUGGAAAAUUGUUAGUUUUGGGUUAUUUGAUUCUAUUGGAAAGAUUUUUAAACGUUUUGUAACGAUAAAUAAUGACGAGGACGACUACGAUGGUGAUGGUGAUGGUGAUAAAGAUGAUGAUGAUGGGGGGGGACUGCUGCUGCUGCUGAUGAUGAUGAUGAUGACGAUGAUGAUAGUGAGGCUGCUGAUGAUGAUAAUGGUAAUGAUGAUGAUGAUGAUGAUGAUGAUGUUGAUGAUGUUGAUGAUAAUGGUGAUGAUGAUGAUGAUGAUGACGGUGAUGAUGAUGACGAUGAUGAUGAGAUGACGAUGAUGAUGAGAUGAUGAUGAUGAUGAUGAUGAUGAAGAUGGUGAUGGUGAUGAUGAUGAUGAGGAGGAGGAGGACGAUGGUGAUGGUGAUGAAGAUGGUGAUGGUGAUGAUGAUGAUGAGGAGGAGGAGGAGGAGGACGAUGGUGAUGGUGAUGAUGAUGAUGAUGGUGAUGAUGAUGACGAUGAUGAUGAUGACGACGACGACGACGAUGGUGAUGGUGAUGAUGGUAGUGAUGGUGAUGAUGAUGAUGAUGAUGAUGAUAAUGAUGUUGGUGGUGAUGAUGAUGAUGAUGAUGGUGGUGGUGACGAUGAUGAUGAUGAUGGUGGUAGUGGUGGUGGUGGUGGUGGUCGUGGUCGUGGUAGUCGUCGUAGACUCUCCCCCUCGAAUACGACGUGCGAGUGUCCAGCUUUCAGCCGAAUGACCAUCACAAACGACUUUGUGUACAGUGAUCAAAUAUAUGUGCCGCAUAUAUUAUCUCACUCCCUCCCUGCCGCUAUCAAAUCAACGCUGCCCGAACAGGUGUCACUGUGUGCCACGCAUAAUAUAUAUAUAUAUAUAUUAUAUCUGAGUGAGUAAAUUAUCUCAAUGUUUGCAUAAAAGAUGGUUUUAUGAAUUAUUUACAAUUUGUUGUCAACGGUGCUCAAUGUUAUCUGACACAUUGUAGAUUUAUUUGUUCCUUUGAUUUAUUUGUCUGUCUGUUCGUCACCCCGCUCUCUCCUCCAUCUGUCUGUCUGUCUGUCUGUCUAUCUAUCUAUCUAUCUAUCUAUCUAUCUAUCUAUCUAUCUAUCUGUGUAAAUAUAUAUAAAUGUAUAUAUAUAUAUAUACGUAUAUGUAUAUAUAUGUGUGUACAUAAAUAUACAUAUACAUGCAUAUAUAUAUCAUAUAUCAUAUAUGUAUAUAUAUAUAAACCUAUAUAUAUAUGUAUGUGUGUGUGUGUGUGUGUUUAUGUAUAUAAAUAUAUAUAUAUAUAUAUAUAUAUAUAUAUAUAUAUAUAUAUAUGUUGACCCCCUUCGGUCACGACACUGACCAUGGGAUUGCACCUAGAAAGUUACCCUCCUAGUCACAUUUCUGGGCAAGGUUGUUUAUAGAAGACCAGCAGUCGCCCAUGCAUACCAGCCUCCCCUCUCCACGCCACCAGUGUUAUCCAAGGGAAAGGCAACGGCCGAUACAGCUUGGCACCUGUGACGUCGCAACUCAUUUCUACAGCUGAGUGAACUGGAGCAACGUGAAAUAAAGUGUCUUGCUCAAGAACACAACACGCAGCCCGGUCUGGGAUUCGAGCUCACAACCUAUAUAUAUAUAUAUGUGUUUAUUUCUUUUCAUUUGUCAACCUCGUAAACAUCAACCAUCUUGCUAAUUUGAAAACAGAUUUCGUGGUAAGACGUCAAUUUUCAACAUACAAGAGAUUCAUUUAGUGAUCUCUCCAACUGUUUAUAUAUAUAUGUGUGUGUGUGUGUAUAGGGAAAGUUUACGAAAAAAAUACAAAAGACGAAGACAGGUGGUGUACAAAACAAACAGAUGUAUUAGUAUAGCGCUCAAGAAUAGAAAAAGUCUUUUACGUUUCGAACCUACGCACUUCUACAGAAAGAUACACAGAAAAAAACGAGAAAAAACUGUGUGUAGUGGCUAACGAUCUAUCAUGGCGAUAUAUAUAUAUAUAUAUAUAUAUAUAUAUAUAUAUAUAUAUAUAUAUAUAUAUAUGUAUAUAUAUAUACCUAUCUCUCUAUCUAUCUAUCUAUGACCUAUGUGUACAUGUAAAAAUAUACAUAUAUAUAUAUAUAUAUAUAUCUGUACGUUAUUUUAUUUCUCUUCCUCUAUAGACACACACACAGACACACACACACACACACACAUACACACACCCACAACAACCACACACACUGUAAGGACAAGAAACAUGCAAAAAGAACAAGGCAGAAAAUAUUAAAUUUUGACGAAUAUGAUUUAUUUCAGGGUUUGAGAACUUAAAAUCAACGUGAAGUGUCUUAGCGUUUCGGACUUUAGUCUUUCACCAGAAACAAAACGAAAAGAUAAAAUAAAAGAGAAAUAUAUAGAGUGUAUAACAUCUAAAAUUAGUAUAAAAUUUCAAAAUUGAAAACACGAAGUUUAAGCGGAGAGAGAAACGCAAAGGCAAACUAAAGGACAUAUAUUUGUGUCUGCGUGUGUGUGUAUAUGUGUGUGUGCGUGCGUGCAUGUGCGUGUGUAUAUGUGCGUGUGUGUGUGUGUGUGUGUGUGUGUGUGUGUGUGUGUGUGUGUGUAUAUGUGUGUGUGUGUGUGUGUGCGUUUCUGCUAAAGUCAUCCAUCAAACACGGUUCUUAUGCUUACUUUCUGAUUUAGUAAUAGAAAACACCGACAUCUUUCCCUUGUAAGUCUGUUUAUUAACGGCGUGAGUUUGAAAUAUUGAUGUCCCUUGUAGCAAUACCUAAUGUCUAUUGAUUUUUACGAAACAGGAUUUGACCUGUACAAUAAAAGUUUAUCACAGAGAGCGUCUGUGUCUAUUUAAAAAUAGAAAAACCUGGGAAGACAAGCCUAAUAUCGGUAGCUGAUGGCCAGCGAUCAUCAUAAGUCAUUUAUACACGUUUCUGUGUAUGGAUGUUUGAUUUUUCUCUGAGAUUUAUUUAAGUUAUUUAAGAGACUUGAAGCGACAUGAGUUUUUGGGUUAAGAGAGUUCCGUGUGUAUGUAAAUAUGUAGUUGAUCCGGCAGGGGAUGGUGGUGAUCCCUGCAGUACUCUUUCACCACAACUUUCUCUCACUCUUACUUCCUGUUUCUGUUGUACCUGUAUUUCAAGGGGCUGGCCUUGUCACUCUCUGUGUCACGCUGAAUAUCCCCGAGAACUACGUUAAGGGUACACGUGUCUGUGGAGUGCUCAGCCAUUUACACGUUAAUUUCACGAGUAGGCUGUUCCGUUGAUUCGGAUCAACCGGAACCCUCGUCGUCGUAACCGACGGAGUGCUUCAAUCAAUGUAUGUAUGUGUGUGUGUGUGUGUGUGUGUGUGUGUGUGUGUGUGUGUGUGUGUGUGUGUGUGUAUGUAAAUAUGUAGUUGAUCCGGCAGGGGAUGGUGGUGAUCCCUGCUGUACUCUUUCACCACAACUUUCUCUCACUCUUACUUCCUGUUUCUGUUGUACCUGUAUUUCAAGGGGCCGGCCUUGUCACUCUCUGUGUCACGCUGAAUAUCCCCGAGAACUACGUUAAGGGUACACGUGUCUGUGGAGUGCUCAGCCAUUUACACGUUAAUUUCACGAGCAGGUUGUUCCGUUGAUUCGGAUCAACCGGAACCCUCAUCGUCGUAACCGACGGAGUGCUUCAAUCAAUGUAUGUAUGUGUGUGUGUGUGUGUGUGUGUGUAAAUAUGUAGUUGAUCCGGCAGGGGAUGGUGGUGAUCCCUGCUGCACUCUUUCACCACAACUUUCUCUCACUCUUACUUCCUGUUUCUGUUGUACCUGUAUUUCAAAGGGCCGGCCUUGUCACUCUCUGUGUCACGCUGAAUAUCCCCGAGAACUACGUUAAGGGUACACGUGUCUGUGGAGUGCUCAGCCACUUACACGUUAAUUUCACGAGCAGGCUGUUCCGUUGAUUCGGAUCAACCGGAACCCUCAUCGUCGUAACCGACGGAGUGCUUCCAUAUCCAUGUAGUUGAGUUGGUGUGUCGGUUGAACUGUCGAUGCACACAACCAGCUUUGUGCAUUUAUUCACCUAAAGAAUCUUAGAUGGAAAUUCUUUGGAAUGCUUUACAAAUAUUCACUGCGCCAGUAAUAUAUUUAUUUAUUGCCCACAAGGGGCUAAACAUAGAGGGGACAAACAAGGACAGACAAACGGAUUAAGUCGAUUAUAUCGACCCCAGUGCGUAACUGGUACUUAUUUAAUCGACCCCUAAAGGAUGAAAGGCAAAGUCGACCUCGGCGGUAUUUGAACUCAGAACGUAGCGGCAGACGAAAUACCUAUUUCUUUACUACCCACAAGGGGCUAAACACAGAGAGGACAAACAACGACAAACGGAUUAAGUCGAUUAUAUCGACCCCAGUGCGUAACUGGUACUUAUUUAAUCGACCCCGAAAGGAUGAAAGGCAAAGUCGACCUCGGCGGAAUUUGAACUCAGAACGUAGCGGCAGACGAAAUACCUAUUUCUCUACUACCCACAAGGGGCUAAACACAGAGAGGACAAACAAGGACAAACGGAUUAAGUCGAUGAUAUCGACCCCAGUGCGUAACUGGUACUUAUUUAAUCGACCCCUAAAGGAUGAAAGGCAAAGUCGACCUUGGCGGUAUUUGAACUCAGAACGUAGCGGCAGACGAAAUACUGCUAAGCAUUUCGCCCGGCGCGCUAACGUUUCUGCCAGUUCGCCGCCUUCCACUGCGGCAGUAAUAGACUACAUUUGGAGAAUCGGCGUCGGUUUCUUUUGCUUUUUCUCCGAAAAUCCUAGUAUUUUUAGAUUUUUGUGUAAAUUUGUAGGAAUAUAGUCUAAUGCACCUAUAAUGAUAGGUACAAUGGAGGGUUUAUAGUCAGAAUACAAGAGCUCUAUGUUCCGUAUUAAUUCACCAUUUCUCAUUUUCUUGGACUUUUCAUUGUACAUUCACGUCUACUGGGCAGCUGACCUCUACAACGGUGCAUGGUUUUGUUGCUUGUCCCGCAGAAUAAUACCAGGUCUGUUAUGUUUGCAACGAAUUGUUUUUAUUGGAAUUGGAAUGUUCUACUAGUUUUCCUUGUUCUUAAAGAUGUUAAUACAUGUUAGUUCUGACAUGCCUUUGUUGUUUACGUCAGGGCAAUCAGAUGGUGCUCAGAUAUUGCUCAGAUGUUGCUCAGAGGUUGCUCAGAGGUUGCUCAGAGGUUUCUCAGAUGUUGCUCAGAUGUUGCUCAGAUAUUGCUCAGAUGUUACUCAGAUGUUGCUCAGAUGUUGCUCAUGUGUUGCUCAUGUGUUGCUCAGAUGUUACUCAGAUGUUGCUCAGAUGUUGCUCAGAUGUUGCUCAUAUGUUGCUCAUGUGUUGCUCAGAUGUUGCUCAGAUAUUGCUCAGAUGUUGCUCAGAUGUUACUCAGAUGUUGCUCAGAGGUUGCUCAGAUAUUGCUCAAAUGUUGCUCAUGUGUUGCUCAGAUAUUGCUCAGAUGUUGCUCAGAUAUUGCUCAGAUGUUACUCAGAGGUUGCUCAGAGGUUGCUCAGAGGUUGCUCAGAUAUUGCUCUUAUGUUGCUCAGAAAUUGCUCAUUUAUUGCUCAGAUGUUGCUCAGAUAUUCGUCACAUAUUGCUCAGAUGCUGCUCAAAAGUUGCUCAGACACUGAUGAAAGGUUGCUCAGAUAUUGCUCAAAAGUUUUUCAGAUGCUGCUCAAAGGUCACCCAUAAUUUGCAUGUAAGGCGAGAGUCAAACAUUCUUUAAACUGCCCAUCUCUUUUAAAGUGUUUACAAAUUGGAGCAAUUUUAUCCUAUAUUGUUAGCGAUCAAGAUUUUGAUCGACUGGAUUCUGUGUUAUAGCAGCAGAUAGGAUAAUAGCCAAGUUUAUAGUAAUUUCAGCUUCUUGCUAUUAUAAAACUCCGCUUAAAUGAAAUUUAUAACAAUGGGGCUGGCUGGAUACUGGCAGAUUAAUACGUCAGUCUUCACAGAAGAAUGUUUAGGGUCAAAGCUACCAUUCAGGUCAAGAAUAGAAUUGAUAGUGAAGAAUUCUACAUAAUUAUUGGCUGUGGAUAUUUAAAAAGACAUGUUAAGGAUAAGGUUUUGAAAUGUGCUUAAAAUAGAGAAGAAUUGAAUAAAGCUGAACGCGAAUGAUUGAACAUUUGGUUAAUGCGGCCAAGGUUAGUCAUGCCGGAAGAAGGUAGUUUAAAAACGGAUAAUUAACAAAUUUAUUUUAACCGGAAAUAUUCAAAUUAAAAAAAAACAACUAGGCGCAGGAGUGGCUGUGUGAAUAGGCGCAGGAGUGGCUGUGUGGUAAGUAGCUUGUUUACCAACCACAUGGUUCCGGGUUCAGUCCUACUGCGUGGCAUCUUGGGCAAGUGUCUUCUACUAUAGCCUCGGGCCGACCAAAGCCUUGUGAGUGGAUUUGGUUGACGGAAACUGAAAGAAGCCCGUCGUAUAUAUGUAUAUAUAUAUGUAUGUGUGUGUGCGUUUGUGUGUCUGUAUUUGUCCCUCUAGCAUUGCUUGACAACCGAUGCUGGUGUGUUUAUGUCCCCGUUACUCAGCAAUUCGGCAAAAGAGACCGAUAAAAUAAGUACUGGGCUUACAAAAGAAUAAGUCCCGGGGUCGAGUUGCUUGAUUAAAGGCGGUGCUCCAGCAUGGCCGCAGUCAAAUGACUGAAACAAGUAAUAGAUGAAAGAAUAAAGAGAGUAAACGGCGUACCGUUAGUUAACGCGCGUAGAUUACUGGUUAAAAGUAGUGGACUCUGAAUUGUAACAUCAUGGGUUCGAUUUCUUGCGGGUACGUUAUCAUCUUGAGCAAGACAUCUAUUUUCGUGUUGCUUCAAUAUAUAUCAACAGCUGGUGGGUUUAAUAUUGUGAAGAAGUGGUGCCCUGGCUAGGGGGUGGGUUGCAGAUUUUCACGGGUAGGGAUAGCAAUCAUGCGACGACUAAUGUCCGCUAUCAUGAUAUUCCGAGGUGCCACCCUUGAUGUCACAAAAAUGGCAAAACAUUAAUGUCUAUCGCGCCUGUAACGGGACCUGAUCCGUUGUUCGUAUCAGCUGGGACCCUUGUCGUCGUAACCGACGGAGUGCCACGAUAUAUAUAUAUAUAUAUAUAUAUAUAUAUAUAUAUAUAUAUAUAUAUAUAUAUAUAUAUAUAUACAAAAUAAGAAAAUGGAGAAAUAUAUCUAAAUCAUUCAUCAACUAUCAGAUAAUACCGAAUCAUAUACUUUAUUAAAACACUACACAAGAGCAUUAAGAUUAAACAUUAAUACAGUACAAUAAUUACAAUCAAUAUAAUGAGAUAUGACUAAAUAAAUAUAACAAGAUAUAAAAAUACAUAUACAUUAUAACUGACAGCUGUUUCGGCCGUGCAGAUAUGUAUGUCUCAUUUAACCUAUAUUAGCCAUAUAUUGCAGGUAUAAAUGAGACAUUAACAAAAGUAUCUUACGGCCUCUUCGGAGAUACUAAUGCAUAAAAAAAGUUACACAUAUACCUAUAUAAGUAUGAGUACAUACCCAAAAUCACCUACAUAUAUGAGUGCAUAUAUACUCAUAUCCUUAUAUAUAUACACAUAUAGAUAUACAUAAUAAUAUAAAUAAUAUAAAUCAAUAUAUAUCAAUAAACAUAAUGAUGUUCUAUAUUGAAUGUUACAGUUCCUCAACUAAUAUUAAUAAAUUACAACAGACAUAUUCAUACUUAAUGCAGACAUAUAUAGUAAACAGUGCAUUACAUUAAUUUGUAUUACUUUACAAAAAGUCAAUAAUGUUAAUACCAAUACCGUUAACAAUAAUGCUAUCAAUAUCAAUAUUCUUACUACUAACAACAUCAUUACUAAUAAAAUAUAUAUACGACGGGCUUCUUUCAUUUUCCGUCUACCAAAUCCACUCACAAAGCUUUGAUCAGUCCGAGGCUAUAUCAGAAGACACUUGCGCAAAGUGCCACGCAGUGAAACUGAACCCGGGACCAUGUGGUUGGCAAACAACCUACUUUUUUUUAAUAUUUCAUUGCUCACAAGGGAACAAACAUAGAGGGGACAAACAAGGACAGACAAAGCGAUUGAUUCGAUUACAUCGACCCCAGUGCGUAACUGGUACUUAAUUUAUCUACCCUGAAAGGAUGAAGGGCAAAGUCGACCUCGGCGGAAUUUGAACUCAGAACGUAGCGGCAGACGAAAUACCUAUUUCUUUGCUACCCACAGGGGGCCAAACAUAGAGGGGACAAACAAGGACAGACAAAGCGAUUGAGUCGAUUACAUCGACCCCAGUGCGUAACUGGUACUUAAUUUAUCGACCCCCGAAAGGAUGAAAGGCAAAGUCGACCUCGGCGGAAUUUGAACUCAGAACGUAGCGGCAGACGAAAUACCUAUUUCUUUGCUACCCACAGGGGGCCAAACAUAAAGGGGACAAACAAGGACAGACAAAGCGAUUGAGUCGAUUACAUGGACCCCAGUGCGUAACUGGUACUUAAUUUAUCUACCCUGAAAGGAUGAAGGGCAAAGUCGACCUCGACGGAAUUUGAACUCAGAACGUCACGGCAGACGAAAUACAGCUACGCAUUUCGCCCGGCGUGCUAACGAUUCUGCCAGCUCGCAGCCUUCUUACCACACAGCCGCGCCUACCUUACGCAUUUUUCCACAUAAGUAUUUUUCCAUUUUGAAUCCUGUUUCCUUUUGGCAUCACAGACUACCACUAUAGCUUGAGUAUGCCUAUUCUAUUUACCAUUCUAUAUCUCGUGCUGAUAUCUUAAAAUAUUUACUUCCCAGCAACCUUUUGUUUGUACUCUCUGUGCAUCCGUAUUCUUGUUUGUUCGACAUUGCCAUAAACUUUGCUGAUUGUCCUUCCGUAAUAUUUUGCUGAGUCGUACCUUCUUUUAACAUAACACACUGCUUUCUUUUAUUAUUAUUAUUUUUUUUUCCUUUAGCAAACGUGAAUGCUAUAUGUUACAUAUGGGGGAAAAUUUUGACUUUUAUGUAAAAUUCUUGGAAAACAUAAAAUGCGUUCUAUUGAUUUGGACUUUGGGGAUCAACAAAUUUUGGCUUUAUCACCGCGUAGAAAGCUGAUUCCAUUCAAAAUGCAAAUUUCAGGAAUAAAUGCAUUUCUGAAGUUGGUUUUCUAUUCAAACUAGUUUGUAUAUAAUUCAUGCAAUAACUAUUUUACAGAUGUGGAGGCGCAAUGGCCCAGUGGUUAGGGCAGCGGACUCGCGGUCAUAGGAUCGCGGUUUCGAUUCCCAGACCGGGCGUUGUGAGUGUUUAUUGAGCGAAAACACCUAAAAGCUCCACGAGGCUCCGGCAGGGGAUGGUGGUGAUCCCUGCUGUACUCUUUCACCACAACUUUAUCCCACUCUUACUUCCUGUUUCUGUUGUACCUGUAUUUCAAGGGGCCGGCCUUGUCACUCUCUGUGUCACGCUGAAUAUCCCCGAGAACUACGUUAAGGGUACACGUGUCUGUGGAGUGCUCAGCCACUUACACGUUAAUUUCACGAGCAGGCUGUUCUGUUGAUUCGGAUCAACCAGAAACCUCAUCGUCGUAACCGACGGAGUGCUUCCAUCAUAUAAUUCAUGCAAUGACUAUUUUACAGAUAUGUCUGUCAAACGUAGCGCAGCUGUGGCUGUGUGGUAAGAAGUUUGCUUCUCAACUAAAUGGUUCCGGGUUCGGUCCCACUGCGUGGCACUUUUGGGCGAGUAGCUUCUACUAUAAUCUCGGGUCAACAAAAAAACUUGUGAAUGGAUUUGGUGGACGGAAACCGAAAGAAACCCAUCGUGUGUGUCUUUGUGUUUGUGUUUCUCCCCCCCCACCCCACCACCACCGUACGUUUCAUAACCGGUAUUGGUGUAUUUCCGUCCCCGUUACUUUAGGGUUUGGCAAAACACCGUUAGAAUAAGUACCAGAUUUUUUUAAAAAAAGAUAUUGGAACCAAGCUCGAUUCGUCGGACAGUUUUUUAUAAACAAAACUGUCCGACGAACGGGAACGUGAAACUCUGAGUAACAGCUU